rnacentral:rRNA from 1 species
GGGUUGUGAGGUUAAGCGACUAAGCGUACACGGUGGAUGCCCUGGCAGUCAGAGGCGAUGAAGGACGUGCUAAUCUGCGAUAAGCGUCGGUAAGGUGAUAUGAACCGUUAUAACCGGCGAUUUCCGAAUGGGGAAACCCAGUGUGAUUCGUCACACUAUCAUUAACUGAAUCCAUAGGUUAAUGAGGCGAACCGGGGGAACUGAAACAUCUAAGUACCCCGAGGAAAAGAAAUCAACCGAGAUUCCCCCAGUAGCGGCGAGCGAACGGGGAGCAGCCCAGAGCCUGAAUCAGUGUGUGUGUUAGUGGAAGCGUCUGGAAAGGCGCGCGAUACAGGGUGACAGCCCCGUACACAAAAAUGCACAUGCUGUGAGCUCGAUGAGUAGGGCGGGACACGUGGUAUCCUGUCUGAAUAUGGGGGGACCAUCCUCCAAGGCUAAAUACUCCUGACUGACCGAUAGUGAACCAGUACCGUGAGGGAAAGGCGAAAAGAACCCCGGCGAGGGGAGUGAAAAAGAACCUGAAACCGUGUACGUACAAGCAGUGGGAGCACGCUUAGGCGUGUGACUGCGUACCUUUUGUAUAAUGGGUCAGCGACUUAUAUUCUGUAGCAAGGUUAACCGAAUAGGGGAGCCGAAGGGAAACCGAGUCUUAACUGGGCGUUAAGUUGCAGGGUAUAGACCCGAAACCCGGUGAUCUAGCCAUGGGCAGGUUGAAGGUUGGGUAACACUAACUGGAGGACCGAACCGACUAAUGUUGAAAAAUUAGCGGAUGACUUGUGGCUGGGGGUGAAAGGCCAAUCAAACCGGGAGAUAGCUGGUUCUCCCCGAAAGCUAUUUAGGUAGCGCCUCGUGAAUUCAUCUCCGGGGGUAGAGCACUGUUUCGGCAAGGGGGUCAUCCCGACUUACCAACCCGAUGCAAACUGCGAAUACCGGAGAAUGUUAUCACGGGAGACACACGGCGGGUGCUAACGUCCGUCGUGAAGAGGGAAACAACCCAGACCGCCAGCUAAGGUCCCAAAGUCAUGGUUAAGUGGGAAACGAUGUGGGAAGGCCCAGACAGCCAGGAUGUUGGCUUAGAAGCAGCCAUCAUUUAAAGAAAGCGUAAUAGCUCACUGGUCGAGUCGGCCUGCGCGGAAGAUGUAACGGGGCUAAACCAUGCACCGAAGCUGCGGCAGCGACGCUGAUGCGUUGUUGGGUAGGGGAGCGUUCUGUAAGCCUGCGAAGGUGUGCUGUGAGGCAUGCUGGAGGUAUCAGAAGUGCGAAUGCUGACAUAAGUAACGAUAAAGCGGGUGAAAAGCCCGCUCGCCGGAAGACCAAGGGUUCCUGUCCAACGUUAAUCGGGGCAGGGUGAGUCGACCCCUAAGGCGAGGCCGAAAGGCGUAGUCGAUGGGAAACAGGUUAAUAUUCCUGUACUUGGUGUUACUGCGAAGGGGGGACGGAGAAGGCUAUGUUGGCCGGGCGACGGUUGUCCCGGUUUAAGCGUGUAGGCUGGUUUUCCAGGCAAAUCCGGAAAAUCAAGGCUGAGGCGUGAUGACGAGGCACUACGGUGCUGAAGCAACAAAUGCCCUGCUUCCAGGAAAAGCCUCUAAGCAUCAGGUAACAUCAAAUCGUACCCCAAACCGACACAGGUGGUCAGGUAGAGAAUACCAAGGCGCUUGAGAGAACUCGGGUGAAGGAACUAGGCAAAAUGGUGCCGUAACUUCGGGAGAAGGCACGCUGAUACGUAGGUGAAGUCCCUCGCGGAUGGAGCUGAAAUCAGUCGAAGAUACCAGCUGGCUGCAACUGUUUAUUAAAAACACAGCACUGUGCAAACACGAAAGUGGACGUAUACGGUGUGACGCCUGCCCGGUGCCGGAAGGUUAAUUGAUGGGGUUAGCGCAAGCGAAGCUCUUGAUCGAAGCCCCGGUAAACGGCGGCCGUAACUAUAACGGUCCUAAGGUAGCGAAAUUCCUUGUCGGGUAAGUUCCGACCUGCACGAAUGGCGUAAUGAUGGCCAGGCUGUCUCCACCCGAGACUCAGUGAAAUUGAACUCGCUGUGAAGAUGCAGUGUACCCGCGGCAAGACGGAAAGACCCCGUGAACCUUUACUAUAGCUUGACACUGAACAUUGAGCCUUGAUGUGUAGGAUAGGUGGGAGGCUUUGAAGUGUGGACGCCAGUCUGCAUGGAGCCGACCUUGAAAUACCACCCUUUAAUGUUUGAUGUUCUAACGUUGACCCGUAAUCCGGGUUGCGGACAGUGUCUGGUGGGUAGUUUGACUGGGGCGGUCUCCUCCUAAAGAGUAACGGAGGAGCACGAAGGUUGGCUAAUCCUGGUCGGACAUCAGGAGGUUAGUGCAAUGGCAUAAGCCAGCUUGACUGCGAGCGUGACGGUGCGAGCAGGUGCGAAAGCAGGUCAUAGUGAUCCGGUGGUUCUGAAUGGAAGGGCCAUCGCUCAACGGAUAAAAGGUACUCCGGGGAUAACAGGCUGAUACCGCCCAAGAGUUCAUAUCGACGGCGGUGUUUGGCACCUCGAUGUCGGCUCAUCACAUCCUGGGGCUGAAGUAGGUCCCAAGGGUAUGGCUGUUCGCCAUUUAAAGUGGUACGCGAGCUGGGUUUAGAACGUCGUGAGACAGUUCGGUCCCUAUCUGCCGUGGGCGCUGGAGAACUGAGGGGGGCUGCUCCUAGUACGAGAGGACCGGAGUGGACGCAUCACUGGUGUUCGGGUUGUCAUGCCAAUGGCACUGCCCGGUAGCUAAAUGCGGAAGAGAUAAGUGCUGAAAGCAUCUAAGCACGAAACUUGCCCCGAGAUGAGUUCUCCCUGACUCCUUGAGAGUCCUGAAGGAACGUUGAAGACGACGACGUUGAUAGGCCGGGUGUGUAAGCGCAGCGAUGCGUUGAGCUAACCGGUACUAAUGAACCGUGAGGCUUAACCUUACAACGCCGAAG